UUUCUCCACCAUAAAGCCUGAACAAGAAUGCUCCUCAACAUGGCAGCUUCAGAGUCAGAGAGAAAGAGAAAGUGAGUGACGUGAGACGAAGCUGAACAUGGCGACGGGAGAAAAGGGGGCGGUGCCGCAAUUCUCGCGCGUAGCUUAAAAACCUUCUUGCAUGCCAUGAUGUGUUGAGCCUUUCAUUAGUGGGAGUCCCUGCACUAGCCAAAGAUGCCAACCUCCAACUGACACAGGUGGCCUGUACACUCGAAAACCUCUGACUGCCACCCCCACUUGGAUUGCAUUACUCCAAGAGGGAGAACAUUUGAACAGAGAAGCAGUCUUGGAAAAUGGAACAGCUGGAGAUUGCUCCAGGUCAGCCACAGGGGGGAAAAUUUGGAUGAACUUUGUUGUUUCAGUCUUACAAAUAACAAUAGACCAAUAGAAGCCAAAUUCUGAAAUUUCAAGCUUUAGUACAACUGUAAUAAAAACAGGACCUGAAAGAGAUAGACUGGUGGAACAGCCUGUCAAAUCUAUUUCCUUCUAUUACCUCAAUAUUGAAACAAUUUCUGAGUUUGGUAUUAAAGAGACUCACAUUUUUAUUUAUUGUAGAGAUAACAGUCUUACUCAAGAUUGAGUCCUUCUUAAGUAGGGCCAACAGGUCUGUUAUAAAUAAAGGGGUUUUCAUAGACUGAGUGGUUAAUAAUGUUAACGAGUUACCUAAGUUAGAUAGGACUGAGUAUAGUAAUUUGUUAAUUGAAACGUUGUAUUAAUUACCAAAUGAUAUGCGAUGAUGUACAGGUAUAAUACUUUUAUGUGACCAUCAGGGCGUGUACAUGGGUUUGUUCCAUGGGAAGGGUUCACUAGAACCUUCCAACAGGACAUUGUGAUUACAUCAUCCUAAACGUGGAUUGGAGGACAAGAUGAGCCAAUGAGAUGGACUCCUGAUCAAAUGAUUGGAUGAAAAAGCUCCAUUGGAAAGAACCAAUCAAGAGUACCCCUAAUGAGCCAGUGACAUCAUGGAUCAAGAAAAGGACCAAUCCCAUUUCAGGACAAGUUAUAAGAACUUUCCUGGUGCCUAGCACCAGGUCCUCCUGCUGUGUACCUGGCGGUAGGAGCACCCGGCAUAGCGCGCACUGUGCUAGACUCUGCUUCAUUGUUCGGUUCACUGAGCUUAUCUCAGGUUCCCAUUUCCAGUUGUUAUUAAUAAGCCAGUUAAAAUUUCA